GAGUUUGAUCUUGGCUCAGAUUGAACGCUGGCGGCAUGCCUUACACAUGCAAGUCGAACGGCAGCACGGGAGCUUGCUCCUGGUGGCGAGUGGCGAACGGGUGAGUAAUGCAUCGGAACGUAUCCUGGAGUGGGGGAUAACGUAGCGAGAGUUACGCUAAUACCGCAUAUUCUGUGAGCAGGAAAGCGGGGGACCUUCGGGCCUCGCGCUCUUGGAGCGGCCGAUGUCGGAUUAGCUAGUUGGUGAGGUAAAGGCUCACCAAGGCGACGAUCCGUAGCAGGUCUGAGAGGAUGAUCUGCCACACUGGAACUGAGACACGGUCCAGACUCCUACGGAGGCAGCAGUGGGGAAUUUUGGACAAUGGGGCAACCCUGAUCCAGCCAUGCAGCGUGAGUGAAGAAGGCC
rnacentral:rRNA from 1 species